GAUGAACGCUGGCGGCGUGCCUAACACAUGCAAGUCGAGCGCGUCUGAUUUGAUGCUUGCAUUGAUGAAAGAUGAGCGGCGGACGGGUGAGUAACGCGUGGGUAACCUGCCCUAUACACAUGGAUAACAUACUGAAAAGUUUACUAAUACAUGAUAAUAUAUAUUUACGGCAUCGUAGAUAUAUCAAAGUGUUAGCGGUAUAGGAUGGACCCGCGUCUGAUUAGCUAGUUGGUGAGAUAACUGCCCACCAAGGCGACGAUCAGUAGCCGACCUGAGAGGGUGAUCGGCCACAUUGGAACUGAGACACGGUCCAAACUCCUACGGGAGGCAGCAGUGGGGAAUAUUGCACAAUGGGCGCAAGCCUGAUGCAGCAACGCCGCGUGAACGAUGAAGGUCUUCGGAUCGUAAAGUUCUGUUGCAGGGGAAGAUAAUGACGGUACCCUGUGAGGAAGCCCCGGCUAACUACGUGCCAGCAGCCGCGGUAAUACGUAGGGGGCUAGCGUUAUCCGGAUUUACUGGGCGUAAAGGGUGCGUAGGUGGUCUUUCAAGUCGGUGGUUAAAGGCUACGGCUCAACCGUAGUUAGCCUCCGAAACUGGAAGACUUGAGUGCAGGAGAGGAAAGUGGAAUUCCCAGUGUAGCGGUGAAAUGCGUAGAUAUUGGGAGGAACACCAGUAGCGAAGGCGGCUUUCUGGACUGCAACUGACACUGAGGCACGAAAGCGUGGGUAGCAAACAGG
rnacentral:rRNA from 1 species